GUCGAUGAGGAUAUAAUCCAAUUGUAUGAGGUGCAGUGGAGUCGAGACCCUGUUUACAGGGAGAACCCCUUGGCAGAAACUGCAAUUUCUUUGAAUUCUAUGGAUUAAACUGAGAC
rfam:Arabis alpina cultivar Pajares chromosome 1, whole genome shotgun sequence.